UACAGAGGGUGCAAGCGUUGUUCGGAAUUACUGGGCGUAAAGCGAGUGUAGGCGGUCUAUUAAGUCAGAUGUGAAAUCCCUUGGCUCAACUGAGGAACUGCAUCUGAUACUGGUAGACUUGAGUGUCGGAGGGGAUGGUAGAAUUCCUGGUGUAGAGGUGAAAUUCGUAGAUAUCAGGAGGAAUACCUGUGGCGAAGGCGACCAUCUGGAAGACAACUGACGCUGAGAUUCGAAAGCGUGGGUAGCAAACAGG
rnacentral:rRNA from 1 species